AGAGAAAAAGCCAAAGAAGCAAAGAAGAAAAAGAAAGCGACAUAUAAAAAAAUAAGAAAGAUAUUUUCAACAAUAGAAAUCCCAAACGAGUAUCCUUACAGUACUAAUUUCAUAUAACUUGGAAUGUUGGCAAGGCCUUUCACUACAGCUGGAAGUGUUUGAUUUUGGGCCUACACAGCUUUACAGCAGGGUACUCCACUCCCAUCUCUGCAGCUGCCAACCUCGUCCCAGACUUCCACGCUGGCAAAGCCAAACGCUGAGUUGGCCACGUCAUCAUAUUUUCUUAUGAUUCCUAAAACCACAAUUUCAAGUCAGGUUUUGCACUGAACAAAGAUUUUAUAUUUUAUAUUGUCAUCUGUGAGGAAUACAAUGUUCUUAUUUUAGUAUUAUUACAGACACUAACAGAUUAUGAUCAUAGGUAAUUUACAAAUGUAUGUAUUUUUAUUGACUUGUUAUACACAUAAUGUUUGAAAAUAAUUUGUAUUUAUGAGAUGAAAUUAUUAUACCUGUAUACAGUUUUUAUCUUUUGUACUUACUGUGGUGUUUCAGAAAAGUUUAGAAAAUAUUUGUAUACAUUUGGGUAAUUCUGAAUAGACAAAGAUAAUUACUGAUUGUACUGAACCCUAAGAACCUUAACUAACUAGAACAGGAUCUUAGUAACUAUUAUGUGAUUACGUUUCUCCAACGUAGCUUGUGCCUUUUUAGAUCAAAUAUAGCAACCGCUCUUUCCUCUUUCACUAAAGGAGACAGUGGAGUGCGAAAGGGAGCUGAAGCCAGUGUUUCCCACAGGUUCUUUGACCUCAGAUUAAGUGAAUGAGGACAGGAGCUUAUUAACAAAGAGAUUUAGAGGAAAGACUUAACAUGGUGGCCAGGGGAACCAAAGCAGGAAAAGGAGGCAGAAAGGAUGAGAGCCUGGGCUUCCUGCUCACAGGGAACCUACUGUUUGAUUACACUGGUCUUUUAUUCUGCUUGUGAACACAACAUACAUAUUUCUGCUUGUGUCUUGAUGCUUAUUUUGUACUGUACAUAUUUAAUCAUGUGUUGAUCAUCUCUACAGUAGGCCUAUUUGUGAUUUGAUGCAUGGGCAUGUCUGGGCAAGGCAAGAGGAAGUGUAAGGAAUGAUUGUUCUGGCCGACAGUGGUGGCACACUGGAUGACGUCCUUUGCCUGCGACGGCUGAUGUGGCUUCCGGUAUUUCGUUCAGCUUUGUUGACAAAAGGUAAACUGCCUAGUCUCCCAGAGAAGGCUAACGUGGGCUUUGCAAGAUGACGAACCAGAAGGCAGGGAAUAUCAGUUCAAUUCCAAUUGAUGCAUUUAGCAAUAUGCGAAUCACAUCUAUAUGGACAUAUCUGAUGUCUAUACAAUGGUCUGAAACAUGGCUUAUUGGGUUGCUAGUGUUUCAUGUUCUCUCUUUCUGCCUGACACUGCUGACCUGUAGAUAUUACAGACUCCAGAUCUUUCACUUCCUUAUGAUGGUGUGCCUGGUGUACAGCGCUGAGUACUUAAAUGAGCUGGCAGCCAUGAACUGGAAGUUGUUUUCACAAUUCCAGUACUUUGACUCCAAAGGAAUGUUCAUAUCAUUGGUUUUCUCCAUUCCCCUUUUAUUCAACGCGAUGAUAAUUGUGGCAUUGUGGGUGUACCGAACCUUUGUUACCAUGACUGAGCUGAAGAUCCUGCAGCUGAAGAGGAAGGCCCACAGAGAGAGCAGGAAGAAGGCAGAGUGAUGUGACAUCACAUCCUGGGUGAAGCAGUCUGGGAUCGUCUGGUCCGGCCCCCUGUGUGAGCAGGACACAGAACAGUGUCACUAGUUGACUCGUAUCUUAAAGUGGAGGCAGAUUUGCAUAUGGACGUACAGUACACAAUAAGGUGUUUGAUCUGAAUCUAUUGUUUUCCAUCAUUCUAAAGGGUACUUUAAAUGGGAUGCCAUCUGUUCCAUAAACUCUUUCCCUACCCCUGUUACUCCCUAUUGGAGCUCUCAAAGGACUGGUUUGUCUGGUUUGGUGGUGUUGAUCAGGUUAAAUACUGUUCUCUGUAGUGUAUAACCAUUGUGUCAUGGCAUCCAGUAUACUGAUUUCUUUGUAUGAAUGACCAAAAUAUGAUUGUAUGUUUUAUAGAAUUGCCUCAGAAUUUUAAAAGGCAGUAUACUAUGGUAAAGGCUUAUGUAUUGUUAAGUUAAUAAUAAAAGUUGUGCUCAUGCUCAUUUUCUGUGACAGAUAUUGCUUGGAUCCUUAGUGACCAGCAUUUGUAAGUGAUGCAAAAUAAAUGUCUCCUUUGCCAACUGA